CAAUUGAAUACUGUAGUCCAGGAGUAUCAGAUUUUGGGUGAAAAAAUCUAGAUGACUACUAGAUGGCAGCAAAUCUACCAGUAUUCUUUUUUUUUGGUGAUAUUGAAAAGGGGGAAAAGUGAGGUGAUAAAGAGAAGGAAUACAAGGGACACCUUUGAAAAAAAAAUGAGGCAUUUUGGAAAGCCACACCUCAAUUCCAGUUGGGUUGCCAAAACUAUUAGAAGAUUUCUGAGUUUUGCACAAGAGAAGGAAAUUGAGAUAUAUGUGCAUAAUACAUCCAGCAAAAUCUGGAACUAAUCAUGGCAUAACUCUGGAACACCUCAAGCAAUUUCAACCAAAC